rnacentral:rRNA from 1 species
GGGUGCGAUCAUACCAGCGUUAAUGCACCAGAUCCCAUCAGAACUCCGCAGUUAAGUGCACUUGGGCUAGAGUAGUACUGGGAUGGGUGACCUCCCGGGAAGUCCUAGUGUUGCACCCU